rnacentral:rRNA from 1 species
UAUNGUUUGAUCCUGGCUCAGAUUGAACGCUGGCGGCAGGCCUAACACAUGCAAGUCGAGCGGAUGACGGGAGCUUGCUCCUUGAUUCAGCGGCGGACGGGUGAGUAAUGCCUAGGAAUCUGCCUGGUAGUGGGGGACAACGUUUCGAAAGGAACGCUAAUACCGCAUACGUCCUACGGGAGAAAGCAGGGGACCUUCGGGCCUUGCGCUAUCAGAUGAGCCUAGUGUCUGGAUUAGCUAGUUGGUGUGGUGUAAUGGCUCACCAAGNGCGACGAUUUCUCUG